GAUGAAAUCCCUGCAAAGUGACUUGGCACAAAACAGUUCUAUAUUAAAUACUUUUAUUUAUACAAAAUAUCGACACAUUUACUUCCAGUUUAACAUAAAGUCAUCUACAAACCAACAUGACACAGACUGCACGUUGUUGACAUUAAAUAAAUGUAACUAUGAGUGAAAAUAAAGGAUAUAAAACUACAUUUCCAGACAGGGAGGUAGCUUCAGUCAGUGCAUAUCGAUUGUCUACAGCAGUAUGAAAAUCUGGACCUGA